AUUGAACGCUGGCGGCAGGCUUAACACAUGCAAGUCGAGCGGGGUGAUGGUGCUUGCACUAUCACUUAGCGGCGGACGGGUGAGUAAUGCUUAGGAAUCUGCCUAUUAGUGGGGGACAACAUCCCGAAAGGGAUGCUAAUACCGCAUACGUCCUACGGGAGAAAGCAGGGGAUCACUUGUGACCUUGCGCUAAUAGAUGAGCCUAAGUCGGAUUAGCUAGUUGGUGGGGUAAAGGCCUACCAAGGCGACGAUCUGUAGCGGGUCUGAGAGGGUGAUCCGCCACACUGGGACUGAGACACGGCCCAGACUCCUACGGGAGGCAGCAGUGGGGAAUAUUGGACAAUGGGGGGAACCCUGAUCCAGCCAUGCCGCGUGUGUGAAGAAGGCCUUAUGGUUGUAAAGCACUUUAAGCGAGGAGGAGGCUCUUUUGGUUAAUACCCAAGAUGAGUGGACGUUACUCGCAGAAUAAGCACCGGCUAACUCUGUGCCAGCAGCCGCCGAAA
rnacentral:rRNA from 1 species